GCGAGAAUAGCUCAGUUGGUAGAGCACGACCUUGCCAAGGUCGGGGUCGCGAGUUCGAGUCUCGUUUCUCGCUCAA
rnacentral:tRNA from 4 species